AAGUCAAGUGUAUACAACUGUGGGCUUGGUGUCCUCCAAAGGAACAUUCACAACCUCAUGCUGACACCAUGGACCUCCCCAAUGCAGCCUUGAAAGCAGAAGUGCAUCACAAGUGCACAGAAAUCACUUGCAGCAUUCAGUACCAAGAACAAGAAAGUCAGAGAUUAUAAAGAGGAGAACAACUGCUGAAGUACACUUUUGGCAAAAAAGAGUAUCUGACACUAGAGGGAGGUACCAGAAAUGAUCCGUGAUGCAAGCAUUCAAAGGGCACAGCUCCCUUGAUCGGCAUGCAAACUCAGGGCCACCUUUCACCAGAUGCUCUCAGCUUUGACUUCCUUCCUCUGGCAUGAGAUUUUUCUCUGGGCUGAUGUUUCCAUAAACACAGAAGACAGCAAGAUCUUCAACCUUCAUCU